rnacentral:lncRNA from 1 species
UGCCUUACUAGUGGACUACUCGGUCGUUGGAUCAGGAGUCUGCAAUUAGUUAACAUAAGUGAGUACAUUAUGGCAAGGGUGUGCGGCAUAGUUAUUGCCUCUUGUGCAUCCAUGUGAAUUUCUAGUGGAGUUAAGUUGUGCGUGACUGCAAUUUGUAAUCCACGUAGUAAUGUCAGAAGUUCUUCUUUGGCGACCAUAAAGUUACCGGAUGAAUUUUCAUGUUAUAGAUUAGAUCCAGACGUAGCUGUGGCUUCGCAGUGAUAUGGCAAUUUACCUCAUCUCUUACAAUUCUAGUUGAAGCCUGAAAAAAUAUACAUUCAGGAUCGAGCGGGAGGCAGGCUUAUGAGAGAAAGAAAGAAACAAGGGGUGCUCCUAUGAGUGCAACCGACAUUAUAGAGUAGCUUGCGGGACGAAAUUCGUGACCGAAAGUUGAUAUCUAUAACAUCGGUCAAUUGAUGAUGUCCAUCAUAGCCUAUUACCCAGUUUCCUGCGGUAUCUAUAAAUACUUCAACAAAUCUCAUAUGUGAUUUUGUUGUACUGACUGCCCCAUUACAAAUAGGGAUGGGUUCCAUUUGACAUACAUAAGCAAUUUAGUUCGUUCAUGGGUGGGAGGAAUUUGCUUGAUAGUGAUAUUCAUCAAUUAGUUGGAGAAUUAUCGUGGUAGAAGGUUUCAAUUUUGCAGUUUCAAACAAUUUUUGUUUCGAAUAUUCCAUAGAUGUUAUAAUGUGAAAUGAAUUAACUGUUUUUACUGAACGGCAUUUGUAUAAGAUGUGCCAUUUUGGAGAAUGAUUUGUUUAAGC